CAACCCUGAUCCAGCCAUGCCNCGUGAGUGAAGAAGGCCCUAGGGUUGUAAAGCUCUUUUGUCCGGAAAGAAAAGCUUCGGGUUAAUACCCCGGGGUUCUGACGGUACCGGAAGAAUAAGCACCGGCUAACUUCGUGCCAGCAGCCGCGGUAAUACGAAGGGUGCAAGCGUUACUCGGAAUUACUGGGCGUAAAGCGUGCGUAGGUGGUUGUUUAAGUCUGGUGUGAAAGCCCUGGGCUCAACCUGGGAAUGGCAUUGGAAACUGGGCAGCUAGAGUGCGGUAGAGGGUAGUGGAAUUCCCGGGGUAGCAGUGAAAUGCGUAGAGAUCGGGAGGAACAUCUGUGGCGAAGGCGACUGCCUGGACCAGCACUGACACUGAGGCACGAAAGCGUGGGGAG
rnacentral:rRNA from 1 species